UUCCCAGUCACGGAGAGACUUCCCUCCUCCUGUCCCAGUGGCCAGCUGCUGGAAGAUAACCUGGAAGUCACUGGGGAGAAUUAUUGCCGUGACUGUACGUAUGACACCUAAAUGACAUCGAGACCGAGAUGCCCCCACGACAAAGGCUGGAGCCCUUGCGGUUUUCUCUGCUGAACAGACAGCCUCCCUGGGGUUGUCCAAGCACCAGCUUGAACUCUCCGUCAGCAGAUAUCCCCUGAGGGGCCCUGGACUAUCUUAGUUAGGGUUUCUCUCGAUGUAAAACACACGGCCAGAAAGCAACUUGGGGAGGAAAGGGUUUAUGUCACCUCACAGAUUAUAGUCCAUCACUGAGGGAAGUCAGGGCAGAAAGUUAGGGUGGAAACUGGAUGCAGGGACUGGAACAGAAGUCAUUCAGGGGUGCUGCUUACUGGCUUUCUCCUCACACUUAGCCUGCUUUCUUUUAACCCGGGACCACCUUUUCCGGGUGUGGCACUACUCACAAUAAGGUAGGCCCGCUCACACCAAUCAUCUUCAAGAAAUGUCCCACAAGGCAAUCUGGUGGCAGUGUUUUCUCAUUUGAGGUUCCCUCUUCCCAAACGACUCUAGCUUGUGUCAAGCUGACACAAGACUAGGUAGCAUUGUGACCACGGGGAGGGGGAGGGGAGGACACGCAGCCUCUCUCUCCUACAUCCUGUCCCUCUUCUUCUUCCUCUUCCUCUAUGACCCACUACCCUGCCCUGCCACCUGCCCUACUUCCCCUGGGCCUGCUCCUGUCUCAGGAACUCCUAGAUACUGGGAUCCGGGCACACCUCCUCUGCCAAGUACCCUCCAAGGUCAGCCGUGCAGAGCACCGUGAGGCCAAGGGGAGGGAGAACAGUGGCCUUGUGCUCUGCAGCCUGCUGUCCCAGCUACUGUUCCAGAGCCCAUGUGCUGCUGUGGUACACCCCACGCCCUUAUCACAGGAAACCAUCCCAGGGUCUCUUCCUUAGGCCAUUCUGUCCUUCCCUCUGCUCUGACCUGUCCUUUCGCCCCUGUCAGGCCUUCUACAGGCUCCUGUCUUUCCUGCUGUCCCCAGACUGGGUGAGGAGGACGCCCCCCCUUCUCUUUAAGAGGGAAUUUCUUAAGUCAUAGCUGUGCAGGUCUGGAGGGGGCCGUGAGCCUGAAAGGCGAGAGCACCCCAGCUUCCCAGGUGCAGCGAGCCUAGCUGGGCGUCUGGCACCUUCUGCGCUCCUUAGAUGCAUGCUGGAUAGUUGAAUGGACACCCCUCACUACCCUCCACAUGGCCACCCAGGGCAGUUAGGAGUCUGUGUGACUUCAAGCACAGCCAGACUGAGCUAUAUUUAGACAGCAGGGCCAGGGCGAGCUUCUGGGGCGGAGGAGGUGGCAGAGCCCUGCAGCGGGGCCCCAGGGGACUCCUCAUGCAGUGGGACAGCCGCUGUGUGAGAGGCCAGAGUCAUUACACUCCCACAGGCUCCCCUACCCGGGAAAGGCAGGGACAGUUUCCCUGGAGGCUCUCAGGCUGGCUUCAGAAGCAGCUCGAAAAAUAAGAGCGGGUCUGGUUGGUCAGUUCUGACGCUGGGCCAGGCUGAGGGCAGGAGUUUGGGGGCUCCUUCGGUCAGUUCCUGUUCUGUCGGCUUGUCUUCCCUCCCUUCCUCUUCAGUGGGCACCUAGCCAGGCUAGCUGGGUGUGGCCAGUGGGCAGCCCAGGAGGGCUUCUCCUAGCCUUGGUCACCAGCUAGCUACCCAGCUCUGGGGCGGGCAGGAGGCAGGAUGGAUGUUCGCAAUAAUUACCCAGCUGCAGCUUCCUCAGAGCGGCAGCCAUAGCAACGGGGCUGGCGCCCCAGCCGCGGCCAAGGGGCAGGGGGAGACAUGGGCGCCUUGGGAAGGUCGGGGCGGGUGGCAUGAGCCCUAGGCACAGCCCCCAGCUCCCUCUGUUGGCACUCUCACGGGCUCAUUCGUCUCUGGGGGCGGGGGAGGAGGCUUUGUCAGCACCAGGAGGCUGGCAUAGCCCAGGGGAGUCUCAGGGGAAGCGCCAUUCCCCUUGCCAGGACCUGUGGGACAGUGAAAGCAGGGGGAGGCGAGCAGACCUUGAUGUUUACCGAGGCCCCUUUGGCUCUGCCGGCUCCCUAAGGUUUUUCUGGGCUCAUGCCAGCUGGGCCGGGCAGGCUCUGGGACGUGGGAAUUCACAGCCCAGUGAGGAGGUGGUCCGGAGGUGUGUGAGAAACAAGAAAGCUACAAGGAGUAAGCCACAAGCAGCACUGCCCCAUGGCUUCUGCUUCCUCUAGUUCUCCCUCUGACUUCUCUUCAUGAUGGACUGUGAUCUGGACAUGUAACCUGAAAUAAAGCCUUUUCCUCCCCAA